GUGAGGAAUAUUGGUCAAUGGGCGGAAGCCUGAACCAGCCAUCCCGCGUGCAGGAAGACGGCCCUAUGGGUUGUAAACUGCUUUUCCAGGGGGCGAAACUUUCCCAUGUAUCGGGAUUUGACGGUACCCUGGGAAUAAGCAUCGGCUAACUCCGUGCCAGCAGCCGCGGUAAUACGGAGGAUGCGAGCGUUAUCCGGAUUUAUUGGGUUUAAAGGGUGCGUAGGCGGAUCGAUAAGUCAGUGGUGAAACCCUGCAGCUUAACUGUAGACUUGCCGUUGAUACUGUUGGUCUUGAGUGUGGUCAAGGUAGGCGGAAUGUGUAAUGUAGCGGUGAAAUGCUUAGAUAUUACACAGAACACCGAUUGCGAAGGCAGCUUACUGGGCCAUUACUGACGCUGAUGCACGAAAGCGUGGGGAUCGAACAGGAUUAGAAACCCUAGUAGUCC
rnacentral:rRNA from 1 species